rnacentral:lncRNA from 1 species
CGGUCAGAUUUCUUCAAGAACCUAACUCCAUCCUCUCAGAACUUCCUCUAAACUUCUGACUCUCCUUUCUUAGGACCCUCACAACCCUUGUUAGGACUAGAUGAUGCAUUGUCUUAAAUCCUAAAGCCUUGUCCUAAAACUAAGAUAGGUUGUAAGAAAGAAAGGAGAGCAACGGAGACCAAAUUGAAAACUCUUUCUGAAUACAUCGGACACCUAUCACCUUGGCCAAUUUAUAGCCACC